UACGAAGGGGGCUAGCGUUGUUCGGAAUUACUGGGCGUAAAGCGCACGUAGGCGGACUAUUAAGUCAGGGGUGAAAUCCCGGGGCUCAACCCCGGAACUGCCUUUGAUACUGGUAGUCUCGAGUCCGGAAGAGGUGAGUGGAAUUCCCGGUGUAGAGGUGAAAUUCGUAGAUAUCGGGAGGAACACCAGUGGCGAAGGCGGCGAUCUGGGUCGAUACUGACGCUGAGGUGCGAAAGCGUGGGGAGCAAACAGG
rnacentral:rRNA from 1 species